UGUGUUUGAGGUACACUGGGACAAAAACCAAUGAGCACAGUGAUGCUGUCAGCUUAAAACAAGCCAGCAAAAACGACGCUUCGUCUUGACUUUAGUGUCUCACUGGCAGGCCUGGCUGGCGGCUCCUCCAGUUGCUCUAGUUCUUCCAGUAUGGUCUGGACGCGACGGACUCCGUCUCGUCUCGCUUGCCGUACGUCUGAACGGCCCUCCGGGUCGACAGAGUCCAGCGCUAAGAGCUCUUUGCUAAGCCUGGGUGGAUGGGACCCUGAGCAGCUUGUCCAGCCUCUACUUUUCCAGGUUGCUGAGGCUGUGAUGACGUCUGAGGUGGUGCCUGCUGAAACUGCUGUGGCUGCUGGAACUGUUGAGGUUGCUGAGGUGGAGGCUGCUGGAAGUGUUGAGGCUGC